rnacentral:rRNA from 1 species
AUGGCUGGUGAAGGAGAUCUGCAGCUACUGGGCGGGUUGGUGAGUCCAUUCACACUCCGGGUACGCAUGGCGCUGCACGUCAAGGGUGUGAGCUACGAGUACCUCGAGCAGGACCUAUGGGACAAGAGCGAGCUCCUCCUCGCGUCUAACCCGGUGCACAAAAAGGUCCCGGUGCUCAUCCACGCCGGUAAGCCCAUCUGCGAGUCGGUCGCCAUCGUGCAGUACGUCGACGAGGUCUGGGCGAGCGCCCCCUCGCUCCUCCCCGCCGACCCCUACGACCGUGCCGUCACUCGCUUCUGCGCCGCCUAUGUCGACGACGAGCUGUUCCCUGCCUGGCUAGCCAUCCUGCGCGCCGCGACAGAGGAGGAGAGAGCGCAAAAGCUCGCCGCCACGCUCGCGGUGCUUGCGCCCAUGGAGGAGGCCUUCUCCGCCUGCUCGGCCUUCUCAUCCGGUGGCGACUCCAUCGGGUACUUCGACCUCGCGCUCGGGUGCCAGCUCUUCUGGCUCGACGCGCUGAGGGAGAUGUUCGACGUGAUGGUCAUCGACGAUGGCAGGACCCCGCCCUUAGCCGCGUGGACCGAGAGGUUCCUGGAGACGGAGGCGGCCAAGAUGGUGAAGCCGCCCAUGAGCAGCAUGCUGGAGUACGCCGGGCAGCUGCGAGAAAAUCGGAUAUUUGCCACUUUGAAUACGUGGCUUCUCCAAAUUGCCACUCCCAAGAUUGUCUUCACAGAAUUGCCAUCCAGCUCAUCGGCUCCUUGA